rnacentral:rRNA from 1 species
GAUGAACGCUGGCGGCGUGCCUAAUACAUGCAAGUCGAGCGAACAGACGAGGAUCUUGCUCCGCUGACGUUAGCGGCGGACGGGUGAGUAACACGUGGAUAACCUACCUAUAAGACUGGGAUCACUUCGGGAAACCGGAGCUAAUACCGGAUAAUAUAUUGAUCCGCAUGGUUGAAUAGUGAAAUACGGCUUUGCUGUCACUUAUAGAUGGAUCUCCGCCGCAUUAGCUAGUUGGUAAGGUAACGGCUUUCGAAGGCGAGGAUGCGUAGCCGACGUGAGAGAGUGAUCGGCGACACUGGAACGGAGACACGGUCAAGACGCCUACGGGAGGCAGCAGUAGGGAAUCGUCCGCAGUGGGCGAAAGCAUGACGCAGCAACGCCGAGUGAGUGAUGAAGGUCUUGGGAGCGUAAAACUCUGUUAUUAGGGAAGAACAAAUGUGUAAGUAACUAUGCACGUCUUGACGGUAACUAAUCAGAAAGCCACGGCUAACUACGUG